UGAACGCUGGCGGAAUGCUUUACACCUGCAGUCGAACGGCAGCACGGACUUCGGUCUGGUGGCGAGUGGCGAACGGGUGAGUAAUAUAUCGGAACGUGCCCAGUCGUGGGGGAUAACGUAGUGAAAAUUACGCUAAUACCGCAUACGAUCUACGGAUGAAAGCGGGGGAUCGCAAGACCUCGCGCGAUUGGAGCGGCCGAUAUCAGAUUAGGUAGUUGGUGAGGUAAAGGCUCACCAAGCCAACGAUCUGUAGCUGGUCUGAGAGGACGACCAGCCACACUGGAACUGAGACACGGUCCAGACUCCUACGGGAGGCAGCAGUGGGGAAUUUUGGACAAUGGACGCAAGUCUGAUCCAGCCAUUCCGCGUGCAGGACGAAGGCCUUCGGGUUGUAAACUGCUUUUGUACAGAACGAAAAGGUUUCUAUUAAUACUAGGAGCUCAUGACGGUACUGUAAGAAUAAGCACCGGCUAACUACGUGCCAGCAGCCGCGGUAAUACGUAGGGUGCAAGCGUUAAUCGGAAUUACUGGGCGUAAAGCGUGCGCAGGCGGUUAUGUAAGACAGAGGUGAAAUCCCCGGGCUCAACCUGGGAACUGCCUUUGUGACUGCAUAGCUGGAGUACGGCAGAGGGGGAUGGAAUUCCGCGUGUAGCAGUGAAAUGCGUAGAUAUGCGGAGGAACACCGAUGGCGAAGGCAAUCCC
rnacentral:rRNA from 1 species